GCUGGCGCACGGGUGAGUACGCGUGAUAAUCUACCCCUGAAUUUGGGAUAACAGUUCGAAAGGGCUGCUAAUACCGGAUGACAUAAUCCUUACCACGGUUUGGAUUAUCAAAGAGGGCCUCUCCUUGGAAGCUCUUGUUUGGGGAUGAGUUCGCGUACCAUUAGCUUGUUGGUGGGGUAAUGGCCUACCAAGGCAUCGAUGGUUAGCUGGUCUGAGAGGAUGAUCAGCCACACUGGAACUGACACACGGUCCAGACUCCUACGGGAGGCAGCAGUGAGGAAUUUUGCGCAAUGGGGGAAACCCUGACGCAGCAACGCCGCGUGAGUGAUGAAGGCUCUUGGGUCGUAAAGCUCUGUCAAGUGGGAAGAAACCUUCCUUAUUUAAUAGAUAAGGGAAUUGACGGUACCACUGAAGGAAGCACCGGCUAACUCCGUGCCAGCAGCCGCGGUAACACGGGGGGUGCAAGCGUUAUUCGGAAUUAUUGGGCGUAAAGGGCGCGUAGGCGGCCAUUUAAGUCGGGUGUGAAAUCCCGGGGCUUAACCCCGGAACUGCAUCCGAUACUGGAUGGCUUGAGUAUGGGAGAGGGAAGUGGAAUUCCAGGUGUAGAGGUGAAAUUCGUAGAUAUCUGGAGGAACACCAGUGGCGAAGGCGACUUCCUGGACCAAUACUGACGCUGAGGCGCGAAGGCGUGGGGAGCAAACAGGAUUAGAUA
rnacentral:rRNA from 1 species